GCCUCGUCAGAGUCUGAACCAGAAGAGAGAGAGCACCGCCUGUCAUCUUAAGCCUGCAAUGAUCCAUGUCACAUAUUUGGACUGGAGAAGAGGAGGUGCUCUCUCUUUUCACGUUUAGGCGCAUCCGGCGAUAUGC
rnacentral:pre_miRNA from 1 species